GUAAAUAAGUAAUAAAAGAAAAGAAAUCUAAACGGAAACCACCUUGGUGUAAAUCUAUUCGUUUGUUUUUGAAUCUGUUUUGUAUUUUUUUUUGCUAAAAUGUUCUUACAAAAAUAAAAAAAGCCCCCAUUACAGAUGCCAAGACCGGUUUUUAAACCGAUUCUCCUACCCCCCCAAAAUACAAAAAUAUUCUUUUAUUUCUUUUUCUUCUUUCUGUCACUGCUUUUGUUGCUUUGCAGUUACUUGAUGGUGCAAGUGGGGUGAUGGCGAUGGGACGUGCGCGGCGGCCAGCAGAGCGGCGGUGGCAGUGGAGGCGGCGCCGAAGUCAAAAGAUAGAGAACCCUAGGUGCGGCGCACCUAGGGUUUUGUUUAUUUUUGUUCUUUUGUGAUUUGGGCUAUUAGGGUUUGUUUUUGGGUAUUGGGCUUGGUUUAAUUGUAAUUGGGCUGAUGGGGUUUUUAGAUUAGGUGGGUUUGGUACUGAAAUUUUGGGUAGUGGGCCCGGGCAAUAUAUUGGGCUGUACAGACCUUUCGUUUUUUUUUUGUUUUUGAUCUGCUUUGCCUUUUUUGUUUUUGCUUGAAUCUUUGUUUUUUCUUUUGUAUUCAACAAACAAAAAUCCCGGAAAGCUACAAUGGUUCAAAAUAAUGGCUUUAUAGUCUAAAUUACAAGAUGUUUAUUUGUUUUUUUUCUUCUUCUUUUUUUCUGUGUUGUCCACUUCUGCUUGUUGGCUUCUUGUAGGUGGUGUCAGAGAAGCGUCAGGCGGUGGGGUGCAGGGAGGUGGCGUGUGGCAGCAGCAAGGCUUAGGGUUGGAGUAGCGGCUAGCUAGGGUUUCCCUUGGCUGAUAUUUUUUAGUUUUGUGGGCUGUUUGGGCUUUAGGUUUUUUAGUUUUUUUUUGGAUUUUAAUUUGUAUUUGGGCUGAAGUUUGUUUUGGGCUGGUGAGAUAUUUGGGUUUUAUUUUGUCAGAUUUGAGUGUGUUGGGCCUGGGCAAAAUUUGGGCCUUAUAACGUUGAACACCUUGAUUAUCAUGUUAACACACGGACAGUGGUGUAGCUAGAAGAGUUUUUUAGGAGCCGAAAUUUCACUAUUUUAAUAGUCAAUAUCUUUAUAAUUUUUAAAAAAUUAAAUCAAUUUUUUUUUUAUUUUUAGAGGGUCAAAAUGUAAUUUUAUCAUUACUAAUUUAAAAUUUUAUAAAUUAUAAAAGACUUAAAUAAAAAAAAGUUUAUUUUAGGGAGGGUUGAGUUCCUCCCUUAGUUUUGCCAUUGCACAUGGGGUUCAAAAAUGAUGUGUGGAAGAGUUAUAAAAUUAGUAUAUAAAUUUAUUAGAGUGUACUUUCUAUAAUACACUUUAGGCAACAAAUUACAUAUUAUGUGUUACCGAUAAUCCGAAUUGGUGUCUCAGCUGCCUUUCCUCGGCGGAUAAGUUCGCCUUCUCAUCCCUUUUUGAAUUUGCCCCUUUUUGCUUUUCUCUUUUCCCCUGCGAAAGACCAAUUAAUGAUCGUCCUGCUUUCUUUUUACCUUCUCUAUUUCCUCUUUGCUUGUUUUUUGUAAAGUUGGAUCUCCUCGUAUUAAUCUGAAUAUUGGGAUAAUGGUGAAUCGUUGAUGGAUCUUAUUAACAAAAGUGGAUAGAUUUUAGGUGUUAUUGCAGCAGUUGGAAUUUGGAACCUAUUGAAGCUUAUCGCUUUUCCUUUAAGAAGAAUCCAAUAUAUUAUUGAUCAAUAAGAAUGACAAAAUUGGCAUCUCUAGGACCUAAAUGAGCAGCAAAGGAGGGAAAUUGGCAUCUCUAGGACCUAAAUGAGCGGCAAAGGAGGGAGUUUCCAAACUUAAAAGCACUCUACUUAAUUGUUUGAUUAUUGAAUAUGUCAUUAUGCACGCAUUUUCCUAGCAUUUACUUUCGAGGUUGGCGAUCGCGCGCUUCAUAUAUUGUUUAAUGCUACUUUCAGUGAUGUUGUCAGGAAGAAAAAAGACAGGUCUCUAACUAAAGUACAAAUUUCCGCUAGGCAUUAUUAAACGUGGAGCCAAGUUUCAGGUUGCUUCAUACGUCCUUCAAGGGAAACAUCCCCUCGCGCGAUGUAUUCCAUGACAUAACAAUAAAAGCAGAAGUCAAUAAAAGCAAAUCGCUUCAAGACGAAGUCUUGUGAUCGAUCGAUUGUCGCUAGGCUCUGCCAAUAUCCGCCCAGAUAUCGCUCGAUCCAACUGUUUAACCUCCCACUACUGCGCGAUAGCUGGACUAUGUACCAUACAUAUCUUAUUUAAUACUUAUAUUUGAGCAUUUUAUUAGACUUGUAUCACAUUUAAUUGGGUCAUCA
rnacentral:lncRNA from 1 species